GAUGAACGCUGGCGGCGUGCCUAAUACAUGCAAGUCGAGCGAACAGGUAAGGAGCUUGCUCCUUUGACGUUAGCGGCGGACGGGUGAGUAACACGUGGGUAACCUACCUAUAAGACUGGGAUAACUUCGGGAAACCGGAGCUAAUACCGGAUAAUAUUUCGAACCGCAUGGUUCGAUAGUGAAAGAUGGUUUUGCUAUCACUUAUAGAUGGACCCGCGCCGUAUUAGCUAGUUGGUAAGGUAACGGCUUACCAAGGCGACGAUACGUAGCCGACCUGAGAGGGUGAUCGGCCACACUGGAACUGAGACACGGUCCAGACUCCUACGGGAGGCAGCAGUAGGGAAUCUUCCGCAAUGGGCGAAAGCCUGACGGAGCAACGCCGCGUGAGUGAUGAAGGUCUUCGGAUCGUAAAACUCUGUUAUUAGGGAAGAACAUACGUGUAAGUAACUGUGCACGUCUUGACGGUACCUAAUCAGAAAGCCACGGCUAACUACGG
rnacentral:rRNA from 1 species